AACCAACAGGGAUUGCCUUAGUAACGGCGAGUGAAGCGGCAACAGCUCAAAUUUGAAAUCUGGCCCUCGGGCCCGAAUUGUAAUUUGUAGAGGAUGCUUUUGGUUAGGUGCCUUCCGAGUUCCCUGGAACGGGACGCCUUAGAGGGUGAGAGCCCCGUACGGUUGGAUACCGAGCCUCUGUAAAGCUCCUUCGACGAGUCGAGUAGUUUGGGAAUGCUGCUCUAAAUGGGAGGUAAAUUUCUUCUAAAGCUAAAUAUUGGCCAGAGACCGAUAGCGCACAAGUAGAGUGAUCGAAAGAUGAAAAGUACUUUGAAAAGAGGGUUAAACAGCACGUGAAAUUGUUGAAAGGGAAGCGUUUAUGACCAGACUUUUUCUGGGCGGAUCAUCCGGUGUUCUCACCGGUGCACUUUGCCCAGUUUAGGCCAGCAUCGGUUUCCGUAGGGGGAUAAAAUUAGUGGGAACGUGGCUCCCUCGGGAGUGUUAUAGCCUGCUAAAUAAUACCUUUACGGGGACCGAGGUUCGCGCUCUGCAAGGAUGCUGGCGUAAUGGUCAUCAACGACCCGUCUUGAAACACGGACCAAGGAGUCGAACAUUUGUGCGAGUGUUUGGGUGUUAAACCCUCACGCGUAAUGAAAGUGAAUGGAGGUGAGAGCCCUUACGGGUGCAUCAUCGACCGAUCUUGAAGUUUACGGAUGGAUUUGAGUAAGAGCAUAGCUGUUCGGACCCGAAAGAUGGUGAACUAUGCGUGGAUAGGGUGAAGCCAGAGGAAACUCUGGUGGAGGCUCGCAGCGGUUCUGACGUGCAAAUCGAUCGUCAAAUCUGCGCAUGGGGGCGAAAGACUAAUCGAACCAUUGAAAACCAGCGGUAAAUUUGAUUUACUAGGUGGUUAAGAGGCGGCCCGAGAGGGAGAACUAGUACCUAGGUUGGG
rnacentral:rRNA from 1 species